UGGGGAAUAUUGCACAAUGGGCGCAAGCCUGAUGCAGCGACGCCGCGUGGGGGAUGAAGGCCUUCGGGUUGUAAACUCCUUUCGCUAUCGACGAAGCCACUUGCGGUGACGGUAGGUAGAUAAGAAGCACCGGCUAACUACGUGCCAGCAGCCGCGGUAAUACGUAGGGUGCAAGCGUUGUCCGGAAUUACUGGGCGUAAAGAGCUCGUAGGUGGUUUGUCGCGUCGUCUGUGAAAUCCCGGGGCUUAACUUCGGGCGUGCAGGCGAUACGGGCAUAACUUGAGUGCUGUAGGGGAGACUGGAAUUCCUGGUGUAGCGGUGAAAUGCGCAGAUAUCAGGAGGAACACCGAUGGCGAAGGCAGGUCUCUGGGCAGUUACUGACGCUGAGAGCGAAAGCAUGGGUAGCGAACAGGAUUAGAUACCCUGGUAGU
rnacentral:rRNA from 1 species